AUUGAACGCUGGCGGCAGGCCUAACACAUGCAAGUCGAGCGGAUGAAGGGAGCUUGCUCCUGGAUUCAGCGGCGGACGGGUGAGUAAUGCCUAGGAAUCUGCCUGGUAGUGGGGGAUAACGUCCGGAAACGGGCGCUAAUACCGCAUACGUCCUGAGGGAGAAAGUGGGGGAUCUUCGGACCUCACGCUAUCAGAUGAGCCUAGGUCGGAUUAGCUAGUUGGUGGGGUAAAGGCCUACCAAGGCGACGAUCCGUAACUGGUCUGAGAGGAUGAUCAGUCACACUGGAACUGAGACACGGUCCAGACUCCUACGGGAGGCAGCAGUGGGGAAUAUUGGACAAAGGGCGAAAGCCUGAUCCAGCCAUGCCGCGUGUGUGAAGAAGGUCUUCGGAUUGUAAAGCACUUUAAGUUGGGAGGAAGGGCAGUAAGUUAUUACCUUGCUGUUUUGACGUUACCAACAGAAUAAGCACCGGCUAACUUCGUG
rnacentral:rRNA from 1 species